CGGUCGUUCUUCCCCCUCCUUCAAGGACUUGACCUCACAUCGGACGUGGCGACCCACAGAAUUUAAGGAUAUUAGCGGAGAAAAAGAAACGAACAAGGAUUCCCUCAGUAAAGGUGAGUGAACAGGGAAGAUCCCAGCGCCGAAUCACCGCCCCACGGUGGGCGCAGGAAAUGUGACAUACAGAAGACCCACUCCCCGCCGCCGCUCAUGAGGGGCCGGAGUCCUUCAAAUCGAGGCCAGUCCGUGGGCGGUGUGAGGUCUUCCUGGAGUCCGGUUGCUUGGGAAUGCAGCCCAAAGCCGGUGGUAAAUUCCAUCUAAGUCUAAAUACCGGCAGGAGAGCGAUAAUCAACAAGUACCGUAAGGGAAAGUUGAAAAUAAGUUUGAAGAGAGUUCAAGAGGAUGUGAAACCG
rnacentral:ncRNA from 1 species